rnacentral:rRNA from 1 species
UGGGGAAUAUUGCACAAUGGGCGAAAGCCUGAUGCAGCAACGCCGCGUGAGUGAUGAAGGUCUUCGGAUUGUAAAGCUCUGUCUUUUGGGACGAUAAUGACGGUACCAAAGGAGGAAGCCACGGCUAACUACGUGCCAGCAGCCGCGGUAAUACGUAGGUGGCGAGCGUUGUCCGGAUUUACUGGGCGUAAAGGGUGCGUAGGCGGAUGUUUAAGUGAGAUGUGAAAUACCCGGGCUUAACUUGGGUGCUGCAUUUCAAACUGGAUAUCUAGAGUGCAGGAGAGGAGAAUGGAAUUCCUAGUGUAGCGGUGAAAUGCGUAGAGAUUAGGAAGAACACCAGUGGCGAAGGCGAUUCUCUGGACUGUAACUGACGCUGAGGCACGAAAGGCGUGGGUAGCAAACAGGAU